rnacentral:lncRNA from 1 species
CACAAAUCUCUCUCUCUCUCUCUCUCUCUCUCUCUCUCUCUCUCUCUCUCUCUCUCUCUCUCUCCUUAUCCAAAUACGUAUGCUUCCAUUUCAAGUCUCUGCUUGAGGGUUUUUAAUUUGUCUUUGCCUAGUCUUUGGGGUAUGCUUUCUUUAAGGAAGUAAUGGUUGUUAAGUCAUAUAUAUAGAGAUAGAUAGAUAGAUA